CCUACGGGUGGCAGCAGUGAGGAAUAUUGGUCAAUGGCCGCAGGGCUGAACCAGCCAAGUCGCGUGAGGGAUGACGGUCCUAUGGAUUGUAAACCUCUUUUGUCAGGGAGCAAAGGGCGCCACGUGUGGCGUUUUGCGAGUACCUGAAGAAAAAGCAUCGGCUAACUCCGUGCCAGCAGCCGCGGUAAUACGGAGGAUGCGAGCGUUAUCCGGAUUUAUUGGGUUUAAAGGGUGCGCAGGCGGAGGUGCAAGUCAGCGGUCAAAUUGCGGGGCUCAACCCCGUACUGCCGUUGAAACUGCAUCCCUUGAGUGCGCGAGAAGUAUGCGGAAUGCGUGGUGUAGCGGUGAAAUGCAUAGAUAUCACGCAGAACUCCGAUUGCGAAGGCAGCAUACCGGCGCGCAACUGACGCUCAUGCACGAAAGCGUGGGUAUCGAACAGGAUUAGAUACCCGAGUAGUC
rnacentral:rRNA from 1 species